CUCGCGUCGGCCCUUGAAAUCCGAGUGAGGGAGUGUGAUUUUCGUGCCGGACCGUACCCACAUCGCAGCAGGUCUCAAGGUGACAGCCUCUAGUCGAUGGACCAAUGUAGGUAAGGGAAGUCGGCAAAACGGAUCCGUAACCUUGGGAUAAGGAUUGGCUCUGAGGACUGAGCCGGUCGGGCUGGGGACCUGAAGCAGGAACGGCACUGCACCGGGACUGGGCGGGGCUCGCCGUUGACGCGGCGCGGCCAAGCCCGGACCAGCGUCGGGACCUUCCUGUGGAAAGCCUCAGCUGCGCGGCGUCCGAGGGCUUCGUGCCCAAAGUGCUAUGCUUCGGCCGGCAAAAAACAGUCAACUCAGAACUGGCACGGACCGGGGGAAUCCGACUGUCUAAUUAAAACAAAGCAUUGCGAUGGCCGCUGGUCGGUGUUGACGCAAUGUGAUUUCUGCCCAGUGCUCUGAAUGUCAACGUGAAGAGAUUCAUCAAAGCGCGGGUAAACGGCAGAGUAACUAUGACUCGGGAGUAACUAUGACUUUUGGGGCAUUAUGAUGUAGUGUGGGGCUAGCAUACUGAUGGAAUCAUUGUUGGAAUGAUUCGUGUGAUGUUUUAGGUGUGGCGACGGGAGUUUGAUUUCGAAACCAAUUAUUGACCACUCCUUGU
rnacentral:ncRNA from 1 species